rnacentral:rRNA from 11 species
AACAGCUGCCUAAAUACCCUAAAGGCACCAGAUCCUAUUUGAUAUUGGAAGCUAAACAAGGUAGUACCUAGGUGGGAGACUGCAUGCAAACACCUGGUGCUAUAGGCCAUUGCUUCUU